rnacentral:lncRNA from 1 species
CCUGUACAGCGGCAAUUCGCUGAGAGCGUAUAGCAGCGAGGUCAAGGCUUUCGGGGUCUGGUCACGCAUCGCGAAAAAAUAGCUGGGAUCACGCAGGCGCUUGACGAACGGCAAGGCCAACUGCGCCUUUGCUGGGGCCGGCAUGCUGAGGCCCGCAAUUCCUGUGAUGCACAGAGCCAUGGCCUCCAGGUUCACCUCCCUCUUCAUCUGGUGGUGGCCCAGAAGAGCCAGCCGACGUGCGCAUGCCUCCACACGCGGGUCAGGUGACGGCUGAGUGCCACCGCAAUCGCUUGGCGCCAAGGACCUCCUGACGAUUCCGUUGCCCGUCCGAUGCAGGUCGCCGAAAAGAUUCGUGACUUCUGCAGAGGGUUGUUUACCUGAAAAAGGAGAGACCGCAGCCGAAUCUGGAGAGGAUACCGUGGGAACAGCGCUGGAUGAGGCUUCGUGGGCACCAUGUGUGGUAUGCGCACGGAGGCUCGACAGCGUUGUCAAACCCGUUGCCACGUGCCGCAGCGAAUACUCAUAGCUGUGCUUCUGAAUGUGAGCAUCGAGGGCUUCAAUCGUAGGACAUGUGUCGAUUGAUGGAAAUGCCGCAGCAAUCCUGGAAGGAGGAACGCGUAGUAACGGUUCCGCAGUUUCACCGGCUGUUUUUAAAUAUCGAAGCCACACAUAAUUCCAGGAAAGUUGAUCAUCGGAAGAAUGGGUACUUAUGAUGCCGGCGGCAAUAAAACUCCGCAAUGUAGAAAUAAGAAGAGUCCCAUCCCAUCUUGGUGCUCCAUAUACAGUAAUUGAAGGUUGCAGACAGACAGGCGCGCUACCGAUGAGCGAGGCCCCGCGGAGAAGGCGUCCUGUGAAAUGGCUCGGUCCCCUCGAUCUCCACAGAAACAUUAUCGUCGAUUGGUCAUGCUGUUGAACUAGGAAAAGUUGUCUUGAAUCCUGAUGGGUUGAGUUAGCUUAUGGACUUGAUUAACGGAAGCUGACUAAUACCUGCCAAGUUCUAACCACGAAAACGGGAAUCGUGCACCUUAUAUACAUUCUAAUCCAAACAA